CAGUGGUCCACGUUUAAAACGACAAAGAAAGACACAAGGGGAGUGAUAUAUGGAGGUCUGUCCAGCAACCUUGCUCAAAUUCAGAUUGCAACGCGGAGAACUUCGCGUAAACACGAUGGGGAGAUUUCAUUCUAAGGGGUCCUCUUGAAUGCAGAGAAAGAAGUCUCGGUCAAAGGCCUCUACAAUGUUCUUCAGGAGAUUGGAGACCAAACUUCACCUGGAAAAGGACGGUAAGACAAGAAGUGAUGAUGAGGAUUCUUCACAAAUACUGGCAUUUCCAGCACAGCAGAGUGCAGCAGCACAGAGUCAUUUGGAUGAUGCUUCUGAAUUGCAACCUGCUGCGGCAACCAGUAAUGAUGAUACUGCCUCUCGGCAUCUCUUUUAAGCAAUCUGCCUGACUGCAGGAAUCAAAAUCAGUACAGGUAUUUUAAAUCAGCGUAUACGUUUCCAGUUGUUGCCAGAAAGAAACUGGGAUGUGCACUAUGCAAAUACAUAGUAUCACUUGGUGUUCAGAGAAAGAGCGCCAUGAAGUACACUCUUAUCAAAGGAAUGCAGGAAUGUGAAAUCACUGCGUAUGGGGAAAGUAAAGAGAAACAACAAACUUGCUUAAGGAAAAAAAAUACAUGAUCACAAAGAAUCCAGUGGUCACAAAGAGGCAGAUAAACUCCUUGAAAAGAAAGCUCAAGGUGCAUUUGAGCUAAACUCCUUGAAAAGAAAGCUGAAGGUGCAUUUGAGGCUGGUUUACUGAAGGCACAGGAACAUUUCCUCAACCAAAUGCGUGUUUCGCACAGCAUACUAUAUUGCAAAAAACCCCAGGCCUUUCACAGGUCAUCCAGAUCUGCUGGACUUGCAAAAAUUAAAUGGUGUAAAUACAGGAAGAGUUCUGCAAUCACAUGUCAUUUGUUCAGACAUUACUACUCAACCUCCAAUGCCCAUACUUAUUGAUGGGGUACAUCAUUGAGCAAGAAAUCUUCUCUCUGUUUAUCUGAAGUGUUCAGUUGAAAAUUCAGAACCUACCACAUUUUUCUAAGACCUACUUGAACUUAGUUCUACAAUUUCCGAUGUCAUCACUUCUGCAUGGCUUGACUGCUACAUAAGCAUGGCCUUGAUGACAACCUGCUAAAGCAAUGCUUAUAGGAUUUUGCUCAGAUGGAGCAUCAGUGAUGUUCUGUGAAAAGUCUGGUGUUUUUGUGAAGCUGAAACACAAUUGUCCUCGUUUAAAUGGGUGGCAUUGCCUUAACCACAGGCUGGAACUAUCUCUAGGGGAUCAUGGACAAACUUUAUACUCUUUAGAGAUAGCAGCUGUACGAUGGGUAGCUUCAUCUUUUAGGACAGUAGAGGCAGUCUGGAACUUCACUUCAGCACUCCACUCUCAUUUCUGCCGCGCUAGUCAAGAUGAUUCAAGAGAGUCAUGAGAAAGAGCCGUGUUUGGUGGGCUUGCCAAAAAACGCUUCAUCAGAAUUCCUCGUGAAUUUGGGAUUGAGGCUUGAUGGAUUAGAACAACGGUGGGCAACCUCAGAGGACGCCGCAGGUCCGGCCCUCAAACGACUCCAAGGGCCGCAAGACCCCCUUUACCACAAUUACAAGGCAAAAUGAAACAUUUUAAUUUAAAGAGCUUUACAUUAUAUAAACAAUAAGAAUGUAAUAAAGGAUUGAACAUCAAUACAAAAGAAAAAGCAUUUAAAGUCAUAAAUAUACUACUUAAUGCGACUUCUGGGUGAUCAUAUUUUGCACCAGCUUUUUGAAGUUAGGAGUAAGGCAGGUGCAGGCACAUCACAACUCAGCAGCGAGGUUUCCACCUUUUGCGUUUGUUGUUUUUGAUGUUUCCCAUCACAGAGGAUGUCUGUUCGCAUGUGUAGGUUGAACGAAAAAUUGAUAACAGCUUUGCAGCUCAAAGGAGGUGAACAAUAUAAUCGGUUUGAAAAUUAAAAGAAUGAUAAAUAAGAA